rnacentral:rRNA from 1 species
GACGUAGGGCGCGAGCGUUGUUCGGAAUUACUGGGCGUAAAGGGCGCGUAGCGGCCGCCUAAGUCAGACGUGAAAUCCCUCGGCUCAACCGGGGAAAUGCGCGUGAUACUGGCGGGCUUGAGAUCGGGAGGGGUGAAUGGAACUCCAGGUGGAGCGGUGAAAUGCGUAGAUAUCUGGAGGAACACCGGUGGCGAAAGCGGUUCACUGGCCCGACACUGACACUGAGGUGCGAAAGCU